AACGAUCCCUACUUACAUACUUACUACAAUUGAUAAAAAGAGGGUUAAUUUGAGUGCUAGUUAAUAUCAUAUCACCUCAUCAAUACUUAUAGUUUUCAUGAAGCUUAAUGAUCUUUGAUUGUACCUUUAUUGUGCUUUUCACGUAGGGGACUUUUAAAGAAUGUUUUGAAUUGUUGUAUGUGCUUUCCCAUCCAAUUCAAUAACUUAAGGAGAACUUGAAGGUUAAAAAAGUGCUGUCACGGUUAACCUAGGGUAUUGAGUUCAUGGUCUAUUGAAAGAAACAAUUGCAAAUCAAUUUGAAUGCAAGUGUGUCAUGUGUGGAGAAGAACCCUCUAGCUAGCCCAUUGAUGUGAAAAUUAACUUGACACACAAAUUAAACCCUAUUUGUGACAAUUGUAGUAAUGAUGUAAGUAGGGAUCGUUCUAACCGGGGAUUAACUAGGGGUGCUAAUCUAAUACAAAUCGACUUAGAAACACAAAAACUAAACUUAAAGACUCUAAUUAGACUACUAAGAUUCAAAACAGAUUUGAAACACUCAAAUCUGCCCAAAACUGACUAAAACAAGUUAAUUGACUCAAACAGCAACUAAGACAAGAUUUGGACGAAUUUGACAAAACUUAUGACUCAAAAUACUUAAAAACACCAAAGAGGACAGAUUAUGAAGACUCAAACUUAACAAAAUAUGGGGGAAUUGUGAUGAAUCAAUGGGUGAUGGAAUGGCUAAGGGGUUCUUCUCCACACAUGAAAUUUAUGCAACAUAAUCGAUUUCCAGUUAUCAAUUCAAUAAGUUAUGAACCUCGACACUCCAAGUUAAUUAGGUCCGCUUAAAUUAACUUUCAGAUAUCCCUAGAAUCAUUGAAUUGGAUGAAUAUGCAUCGCAAACAAAUUAUUCCUAACAAGUUCUCUAU
rnacentral:lncRNA from 1 species